AUUGAACGCUGGCGGCAGGCUUAACACAUGCAAGUCGAGCGGUAGCACAGGGGAGCUUGCUCCCUGGGUGACGAGCGGCGGACGGGUGAGUAAUGUCUGGGAAACUGCCUGAUGGAGGGGGAUAACUACUGGAAACGGUAGCUAAUACCGCAUAACGUCGCAAGACCAAAGAGGGGGACCUUCGGGCCUCUUGCCAUCAGAUGUGCCCAGAUGGGAUUAGCUAGUAGGUGGGGUAAUGGCUCACCUAGGCGACGAUCCCUAGCUGGUCUGAGAGGAUGACCAGGCACAGUGGAAUUGGGGCCCGGGCCGGACUACGAAGGGAGGCAGCAGUGGGGAAUAUUGCAGAAGGGGGGAAGGGUUGAUGCAGCCAUGCAGCGUGGGGGAAGAAGGCCUUGGGGUGUUAAAGCACUUUCGGGGAGGAGGAAGGUGGUGACCUUAAUACGUCCAUCAAUGGAGGUUACUCGCAAAAGAAGCACCGGCUAACCCCG
rnacentral:rRNA from 1 species